rnacentral:sRNA from 1 species
UUUGAAGUUAUGCUUUGGGACGAAAAUCAUAGGCUUUAGCUGCUUUCAUAGCGCCGCCACAUACAAACUGUUUUGCUGAAACUGUAUAUUUGCUGCGAUGCAAAAACAAAUUUCCAUUACAGUUCCCGUAGAAAAACCUUGAAUGAAUCGGCAAAUAAAUUUCUAAGACCUCAACAGACGGUCUAUGAAACGCA